rnacentral:rRNA from 1 species
GAUGAACGCUGGCGGCGUGCCUAAUACAUGCCAGUCGAGCGAACAGACCAGCAUUUUGCUCCUCUGACGUUAGCGGCGGACGGGUGAGUAACACGUGGAUAACCUACCUUUUAGACUCGGAUAACUUAGGGACACCGGAGCUAGUACCGGAUAAUAUAUUGAACCGCAUGGUUCAAUAGUGAAAGGCGGUUUUGCUGUUACUUAUAGAUGGAUCCGCGCCGCAUUAGCUAGUUGGUAAGGUAACGGCUUACCAAGGCAACGAUGCGUAGCGGACCUGAGAGGGUGAUCGGCGACAGUGGAACUGAGACACGGGCCAGACUCCUACGGGAGGCAGCAGUAGGGAAUCGGCCGCAAUGGGCGAAAGCCGGACGGAGCAACGCCGCGUGAGUGAUGAAGGUCUUCGGAUUGGAGAACUCUGCUACUAGGGAAGAAGAGGUGGGUAAGUGACUAUGCGCGUCUUGACGGUAGUGGAAGAGAAAGCCACGGCUAACUACGUG